CCUACGGGGAGCAGCAGUCGAGAAUCAUUCACAAUGGGGGAAACCCUGAUGGUGCGACGCCGCGUGGGGGAAUGAAGGUCUUCGGAUUGUAAACCCCUGUCAUGUGGGAGCAAAUUAAAAAGAUAGUACCACAAGAGGAAGAGACGGCUAACUCUGUGCCAGCAGCCGCGGUAAUACAGAGGUCUCAAGCGUUGUUCGGAAUCACUGGGCGUAAAGCGUGCGUAGGCUGUUUCGUAAGUCGUGUGUGAAAGGCGCGGGCUCAACCCGCGGACUGCACAUGAUACUGCGAGACUAGAGUGAUGGAGGGGGAACCGGAAUUCUUGGUGUAGCAGUGAAAUGCGUAGAUAUCGAGAGGAACACUCGUGGCGAAGGCGGGUUCCUGGACAUUAACUGACGCUGAGGCACGAAGGCCAGGGGAGCGAAAGGGAUUAGAUACCCCAGUAGUC
rnacentral:rRNA from 1 species